GAUGAACGCUGGCGGCGUGCCUAAUACAUGCAAGUCGAGCGAACAGACGAGGAGCUUGCUCCUCUGACGUUAGCGGCGGACGGGUGAGUAACACGUGGAUAACCUACCUAUAAGACUGGGAUAACUUCGGGAAACCGGAGCUAAUACCGGAGAAUAUAUUGAACCGCAUGGUUCAAUAGUGAAAGACGGUUUUGCUGUCACUUAUAGAUGGAUCAGCGCCGCAUUAGCUAGUUGGUAAGGUAACGGCUUACCAAGGCAACGAUGCGUAGCCGACCUGUGAGGGUGGUUGGCCACACUGGAACUGGGACACGGUCCAGACUCCUACGGGAGGCAGCAGUAGGGAAUCUUCCGCAAUGGGCGAAAGCCUGACGGAGCAACGCCGCGUGAGUGAUGAAGGUCUUCGGAUCGUAAAACUCUGUUAUUAGGGAAGAACAAAUGUGUAAGUAACUAUGCACGUCUUGACGGUACCUAAUCAGAAAGCCACGGCUAACUACGUG
rnacentral:rRNA from 1 species